rnacentral:rRNA from 1 species
UACAGAGGUCCCAAGCGUUGUUCGGAUUCACUGGGCGUAAAGGGUGCGUAGGUGGCGGGGUAAGUUUGAUGUGAAAUCUCCGAGCUUAACUCGGAAACUGCAUUGAAUACUAUCUAGCUAGAGGGUUGGAGGGGGGACUGGAAUUCUCGGUGUAGCAGUGAAAUGCGUAGAUAUCGAGAGGAACACCAGUGGCGAAGGCGAGUCCCUGGACAACUCCUGACACUGAGGCACGAAAGCUAGGGGAGCAAACAGG